rnacentral:rRNA from 1 species
CGGGGAUUACACGGCGAUGCGAUUUCGGUCCUUCAAGUGCAAUCUUAGUGGCGGACGGGUGAGUAACGCGUGGGUAACCUGCCUUGCACUGGGGGAUAACACUUAGAAAUAGGUGCUAAUACCGCAUAAGCGCACGGUCCUGCAUGGGACAGUGUGAAAAACUCCGGUGGUGCAAGAUGGACCCGCGUCUGAUUAGCUGGUUGGCGGGGUAAAGGCCCACCAAGGCGACGAUCAGUAGCCGGCCUGAGAGGGUGGACGGCCACAUUGGGACUGAGACACGGCCCAAACUCCUACGGGAGGCAGCAGUGGGGGAUAUUGGACAAUGGGGGGAACCCUGAUCCAGCGACGCCGCGUGAGUGAAGAAGUAUUUCGGUAUGUAAAGCUCUGUCAGCAGGGAAGAAAGCAAUGACGGUACCUGACCAAGAAGCCCCGGCUAACUACGUGCCAGCAGCCGCGGUAAUACGUAGGGGGCAAGCGUUAUCCGGAAUUACUGGGUGUAAAGGGAGCGUAGACGGCUGUGCAUGUCUGGAGUGAAAAGGCGGGGGCCCAACCCCCGGACUGCUCUGGAAACUGUAUGGCUGGAGUGCAGGAGAGGUAAGCGGAAUUCGUAGUGUAGUGGUGAAA